AUGACCACAGCAAGGCAGGAGGGAGCUCAGCAGCAUCGUGGUCGAGUGCCAGAAGCGAGCAAGGCGCGGGGCUCUCUCCGGGUUCCCUCAGUGACCAGAGCAGUCGGCAGAGCCAAGCCAGCCCCGAGGAGCCAGGAAGGCGUUUUGUUGCUGGCUGUUGCCGCAAGGGGCUGUGCACAGGAGGGCUCCCCACCUCUUCUCUCUCGGUGCAGCCCUUUUGAAGUUGGUUUGUGUUUGGAGGGAAGGACACACCAGACUAACAUCCUGUCCUGGUCCCAAAAUAUCUUGCUAUUGCCUUUGGUCCUUGGCGUGAAAGGCUGGAUCAGAUGCAAGGGUCAGUUGGACGCUUUCCACUUCUCAGCUGGCAGCUGGAUUUGUGUGGAGCAGCAUCAGGUCUGGUACAGAUGCUGCCACUGAACGCAGCAGCUGUAGAAGAACUACCUAGAACCACGGAGGAAGAAAAGGCUCUCUGGAAGUCACCAAGUACAACUACAUGCUCAGAUUUUUCCUUACUAGUAAGUGAAAUUUCUUCAAAUACGCUUGGACUUUCACAAAGAGCUAGGUAACACCAUAUGUCUGCGUACCAGCUGUAAGCGAGAAGGCUCGCCUGCUCACGUGAAGGAGUGCUGGAAAACCAAAGCCUUGCUGCAAAGCCGUGACUGCCAGAGUCAACACAAGCAAGUAAUCCAGCUGCUCCGACUCGACUACAGAAGCAUUACGGCCAUUUCCCUACCACCUCUCAAAGGCGCGAUAUUCAGACAACCGACCCGAUCAUUCUUUUAAAUGGGCUGUCAUAAUCCAAAUGGCAUCCUGAAGAUUGUAAGAGCACGGAUUCAGUCUUUUAUUGCAAACCACCAUAGGGGAAAAAGAAAAAAAAAAAAGGAGGAAAAAAAGGAAAACAAGCGUAAGCACAUGAAAGGACCAGCUCCCAGUCCCCUCCCAGUCCCCUCCCAGUGCCCUCGUUUCCCUGGCAGGAGCGGUGCCUGGCUGGGGCAGCUGCUCUGUGCCCCGCCACCAGCUCCUGUGGGUUAGCAUGGUUUGCUUCUCGCCAGACCCUCAGGGCCACCAACCUACCUGAACGCUGCUGCUUCGCUCACGAGGGGUGGCCAGAGCCAGCAGGACACCCCUGGCCCUCCCACCUGCCCCACCACCAGCAGCACGCACCCUUCCCAGCAAUUCUACCCAGGCUUGUAAUUCUGCUGUUACAUUUUAAAACCAGGAAUCUUACUAAGUUUGUAAAUCAGUUGUGAGACAAGACAAUAUUUAUAAAACCCUAAAUUGCUUCAAUUCCACAUGUAAGAGCCCUGAAAAUGGGUCAUAACAAAUGCACAGGAGGUAAUCCAGCUGGCCCUUACUGCAUGUCGGUGAUAGAAAAUGCUCAAAAACUGACUCCAUUGAUUGUUUUAUAACCUGCACAGAUCAAGAAACUACACAAAUCUGGCUCAGAGGAGAGACCUAAGCUCAGGACCUCAAAGCCACUCUAAUUCUUGAAUCCCAUCAACUUUAUUUUUGAGAAAUUGGGUCUUACGUGCAAUAACAGGUAAAGUUGUCCUUCCAAGUUUACACAAGGUAUAGGAAAAGUGUUUCCAGCCAUUCAUUGCCCACAGCGAGCAAUUUCUGCCCAUUGCUCCUUUCUGGCAGAAGAAAACGAGGACUUCUUUCGCAGGGCCUUGGAGAGAUGCUAAGUAACUACCGUUUCUGACACCACUAGGAGAAAUCAAUGCUGGUAUCACUUUUCCAGUCACUGCCAGUUUUCCCUACACCAGAAGCCUAGAAGGGCCAGCCCCAGGGAGGCCGCCGGGUCACCUCCCAGGCGCCCCAUGCUGUUGUCAUCCCUCUCCACGUUUGUGGGAGGGAGCCAGCUCCUUGGCUGGGUAUGACAGGCAAGGACAUCAAAUGUAUAAAAGAGUAAUUUAGAAACCGUGUUUCAGUCCGAAUGAUUUAAUCACACAAGUAGGCGUAAUUGGAAAUCUCCUGCCCCUGACCAAUGUGUUGAUACAGUUAGGGCAGCAUGCAAUAACUCCUCAGUGCUCCGGAUAAAUACUCCCUGACAUUUCAAGAGCCCAAGUGGAGAGAAAUGCCUUGGCUGCCUCUGGUGAAGGGUUCAGAAGUUGUUUUCUAAAGAGAGGUCAGAUUGCCUGUGCACCAGUGGGUGUGCAGCGCUUGCAGCUGUAAGCACAUGCUUGUGCCUUUCAUUCAGGCGGCUGGAGAGCUGUGCUGCUGCUACUACUACAGAAAAUGCCACUAUGUACAAGCUGUGCACAAAAAGGGGAAGGAGAAUGUGGAUACAACAUGGAACUAAGCCUCAAAAAUGCUGUUUAUGUUGUUGCUUCAGGUAUCAUCUGUAGUUCUGCACACUGCAAAGUGUUGCUAGAGCACUGCCGCUAGUUCGUGAACUGUUAAAAAGAGGAGGCGUGAGAAGGAAAAUAUUUUAAUCUUAAUCAGGAUCCUGAAUUUAUUGCAGCUCCGUCUAGCAACCAUGAAAAACGUCUUACCAUACAGUUACUGUUCAUGGACCUGAGUGACUAAGGAGGCGGAAGAGCAAAGAAUUGGGCCCAGGGGAUCUGCUGGAAGAGACAAAUGGUAUUUAGAUCUGUUUGGUGAAAAAGACACAAUAUUUCCACUGUCAUUCUGACUCACAUCUGAAUUUUUCCCGACCUUGAAAGUUGCUCCCUCACACUGCCCGUGUCCCUUGGCUCUGCGUAAGGCUCAGGCUGGACAUCCACCUCCAGACAAGAAAGCAGAUUGAAAGCAGGCUGGGGCUUGGUGAAAUCCUCAUUGCCACCAGUGCUACCUCCAGCAGGUCCUGCUGCUCCGCCCGUGGUCCUGCCACUGCUUGUCCGCUUGCUUGUCCCACUGCUUGUCCGCUGCCUAGGAAAAAUCAAUGCUGGCAUCACUUUUCCAAUUACUGCCGAUUUUCCCCAAUUUUCUUUAAUUUGCUGACUACUUACUGGAUAACAAUUUAGGAGAUGGGAGAAAAAAAUAAAAUACUAGCUCAAAAUUUCA
ensembl:lncRNA